GUUUAUAACCGUGCAUUCAAAAUAUGAGAGAGAGAGAAAAUCUCUUUUGAUCAGAUCGAUUUGAUCGGAGAUUCUCUCUCCAAGUUUCUCUCUCCGCCGCAGCUUCCGAUUGCGUUUGGUCUCUCUACGAUGAUCCCAUCCUCCAAGUCUCCCUUCAAAUCUAACAGUAGCCGAUCACCGCCGCGCUUUCCAAGUUCUUCUCCGACGUCCUCCUCAGAACCUCGCCAUCGACGUCAGAGACUUCGAGGCUCCGAAACGGCGCAGUUUCGGAGUUCUACUUUCAAAAUGGUCGUCCACCACCUAAUGGACUUAAUAAACAACGUCUUUCCAGAAUUGAUGAGCUUUUCAGCAGUCAUAUGAAUGGAUUGCAAAUGCAAGAAUUUAAGACGGUUACAAAGGAAGUAUGCAAGCUACCAACAUUUUUAUCUUCUUAUCUCUUUAGAGAGAUAGAUACUGGCUGCAGUGGAAUAGUGGCUAGAAAUGCAGAUUGUACGCACCAGCCUUGUGCUUGAUCAAGGUUUGGAAAAUUAAAAGUUGAAAGAAGCAGGGAUGUGAAGGUUCAGACUCUUAUCUACAUUUUCUUGACAAGUUUAUCUCUACUCUUUACUGAAGGAAAUUGUCCCAUUACUUGGUUUUUGAGAAAACUCAUCAUAUCUUAUUCCACCAUGUAGUACACGUGUAUUCCUAAAAUUUGCUUUGGUGAAUUGAAGUGUUAUAUUAUAUGGUCUUUGUUUGUGUUUGUGGUAGAAAUUGAUGAUUUCAGUGGCUUUGGAUAGUGAUGAGACAAUGUUCAUGUUUAGAGAAGCCAAGACGUCCUUAUGAGAAGGAACAUUCGGAUGUUGAGCUGAAGCUUGUUGGAGAAUAUGGGCUUCGGCACAAGAGGGACUUGUGGAGGGUCCAGUAUGCUUUGAGCCGCAUCCGUAAUGCUGCUAGGGAACUUCUUACUUUGGACUAGAAAAAUCCUCGCCGUAUCUUUAGACCCAGUUGUGGUUAUGUUUUAUUUGGUUUAAUGUGCUUAUGGGAGGUUGUCCUAAUUGAAAAAAGUGUUGUGGUUGUACUUUGACUAAAAUCACUUGAAAUCUUCCUGGAAUCACAAUAAAAUCUUCUUACUAAUGUUUUGAGCAUACA